CUAUGUUGGCUAGGCUGGUCUCAAACUCCUGACCUCAUGAUCUGCCCACCUCGGCCUCCCAAAUUGCUGGGAUUACAGGUGUGAGCCACCACGUCUGGCCCAAUGACUAGUGUUUUUAUGAGAAAGGAGAGGAUUUGGAUACAGACACACUGGGAAGAAGGCAAUGAGAUGAUGGAGGCAGAGGUUGGGGUGAUGCAGCCAUAAGGAACAGCAGGAGCUGCCCGAAGAGGCGAGAAAGGAUUCUUCCUGAGAACCGUGGCCCUGCCAGCACCUUGCCUUUGGAUUUCUAGCCUCCAGAACUGUGAGAGAAUACAUACUGAAGCCACCCAGCUUGUGAUAAAUUGUUGCAGCAACCCUAGGAAACUGACCACUGGAAAGGUGCUGGGUAGGUCACAGAAUUGAGGGCAGAGCUGAAGAAUGGGGCGCAGGAACGAGGACACUUCUGAGGAGCUCAGCAGCAGAAGCUUGUGGACUCAACGCGGCCAUCCAGGCGACCUGCUACAGUGGCCCUUUAGCUUGUGUAGCUUGCGCAAGAGCCUAUCUCUCAGGAGAGACUCUAACCCAGCUUAUCUCAUUCCUUUCCCAGCAGCUUGUUUGGAACACAUGGAGUGGAGGAUGGAUAAUUUCCCAAAGGAAGAGACAGCAGUCAAAUAAAAACAACAGUAUAAGAAUAUCAGUUUGGAACCCAGUUAGGAUUAACAAGCCAUCUUUUUACUUGUGAAAAACUGAAACACCUGGAAAAAAAAAAGACAAGACAAUAAUUAUGAAACAAAGUGUGCAAAUCUCUCAACUUUAUAUAUAGGGAGAAGAACAAUAAAUGAUUGACAAUUGGGUUGAUAAGAUUUACAGCUAUGAAUAAGAGCAUUACAUCAAGACUUUGGGUUUAAAAAAUUUUUUGGAUGAGAGGAGGCUGGAUGUUCCUGGCUCCUGGGGCAUGGGACUGUGUCAUUCCUUUCAACUGACAACUUUGAAAAGAAGACUAUAAAUGCCUUGAGAGCAGGGACCUUAUAUUCCUGGGACCUCAAACUAUGCAGAAAGGAAGGGAUCAAAUGAAUUUGUUGAAUUUGAUUAAAGCUGAGUAGGAGUUAACAAAUUGAACAGAAGAAGAUGGUUCCAAGGAGAAGGAAGAGCAUGGCAGAGGCCCUAAAGCAGGAGUGAGCGUCUCUGUCCUCAACAUGAGGAAUGACAGAA